rnacentral:rRNA from 1 species
CGGCCUGCGCGGAAGAUGUAACGGGGCUAAACCAUGCACCGAAGCUGCGGCAGCGACACUAUGUGUUGUUGGGUAGGGGAGCGUUCUGUAAGCCUGUGAAGGUGUGCUGUGAGGCAUGCUGGAGGUAUCAGAAGUGCGAAUGCUGACAUGAGUAACGAUAAAGCGGGUGAAAAGCCCGCUCGCCGGAAGACCAAGGGUUCCUGUCCAACGUUAAUCGGGGCAGGGUGAGUCGACCCCUAAGGCGAGGCCGAAAGGCGUAGUCGAUGGGAAACAGGUUAAUAUUCCUGUACUUGGUGUUACUGCGAAGGGGGGACGGAGAAGGCUAUGUUGGCCGGGCGACGGUUGUCCCGGUUUAAGCGUGUAGGCUGGUUUUCCAGGCAAAUCCGGAAAAUCAAGGCUGAGGCG